GACGUAGGGCGCGAGCGUUGUCCGGAUUUAUUGGGCGUAAAGAGCUCGUAGGCGGCUUGUCGCGUCGUUCGUGAAAACCUGCAGCUCAACUGCAGGCUUGCGGUCGAUACGGGCAGGCUAGAGUUCGGUAGGGGAGACUGGAAUUCCUGGUGUAGCGGUGAAAUGCGCAGAUAUCAGGAGGAACACCGGUGGCGAAGGCGGGUCUCUGGGCCACUACUGACGCUGAGAAGCGAAAGCGUGGGGAGCGAACAGG
rnacentral:rRNA from 1 species